rnacentral:lncRNA from 1 species
GUGUGGGUGAAGGGAACAAGAGGUAUCAAGCAAUUAAGUGUAAUAAUUAAAUGAAUUGAAGCAUGAAAUCAAAAAUUAUGUAGGGGACAAGAGUGAUCAAGCAUGGCAUGGGAAUCCAAAGGGAAUUCUAUGUUAUUUUGCAUGGCAAUGAAGGCAAGUUGGGGUGACAAAUUUUUGGGCUGAGUUCUUCAUCUUUUGGACCA